rnacentral:rRNA from 1 species
CAAUCCAUGAGUAAAGUGGCGUACGGGUGAGUGACACGUGGGUAAUCUACCUCUUUGUGGGGAAUACCUCUGGGAAACCGGAGACAAUACCGCAUAAGCCUGAGAAGGGAAAGCCCCAUCCUCAAAAAAUGGGGCGCAGAGAGAGGAGCCCGCGGUCGAUUAGCUAGUUGGUAGGGUAAUGGCCUACCAAGGCAAUGAUCGAUAGCCGGCCUGAGAGGGCACACGGCCACACUGGCACUGAAACACGGGCCAGACUCCUACGGGAGGCAGCAGUGGGGAAUCUUGCACAAUGGGGGCAACCCUGAUGCAGCGACGCCGCGUGAGCGAUGAAGCCCUUCGGGGUGUAAAGCUCUUUCGGCAGGAACGAUAAUGACGGUACCUGAAGAAGAAGCUGCGGCUAACUACGUGCCAGCAGCCGCGGUAAUACGUAGGCAGCAA